CCCCGGGCGGCCGAGCUCCAAGGAGGGCCGGCGCAGCGACACGUGCGAGUACUGUGCGGCAAGGUUCAAGAACUGCAGCAACCUGACGGUGCACCGGCGGAGCCACACCGGCGAGCGGCCUUACAAGUGCGAGCUGUGCAACUACGCGUGCGCGCAGAGCAGCAAGCUCACGCGCCACAUGAAGACGCACGGGCAGAUCGGCAAGGAGGUGUACCGCUGCGACAUCUGCCAGAUGCCCUUCAGCGUCUACAGCACCCUGGAGAAACACAUGAAAAAGUGGCACGGCGAGCACUUGCUGACUAACGACGUCAAAAUCGAGCAGGCCGAGAGGAGCUAAGCGCGCGCGGCCCCGGGCCCCCGCGCACCUGUACAGUGGCCCCGUUGCCAAGCGAGAGAAUGCUGACUUGCCGCCGCGUCGUCGUCGUCGUCACCGCCACUCGGCAGCCCGGGGGAGGCGGCCCCUCCAACCUAACCUGUGUCUGCGAAGUCCUAUGGAAACCCGAGGGUUGAUUAAGGCAGUAAAAAUUGUGGAGCCUUUUAACUGUGCAAUAAUUUCUGUAUUUAUUGGGUUUUGUAAUUUUUUUGGCAUGUGCAGGUACUUUUUAUUAUUAUUCUUUCUGUUGAAAUUCCUUUAAGAGAUUUUGUUGGGUAGCCAUCCCUUCUUCAGUUUCUUCCUUUUUUGUUUUUUUUUAAACCCGGUAGUAGCCUGAGCAAUGACUCCCAAGCUAUCUAGAGGGGAAACAUCUUUUAAAUUAUAAUUUUGGGGGGGAGGGCGCUGCUUUUUUGAAAUCUAAGCUAAGCAUGUGUAAUUUCUUGUGAAGAAGCCAACACUUAAAUGACUUUGAAAGUUGUUUACUUUUUUAGUCCUUCUUUUUUCAGUCCUGAAAUAAAAAGUGGCAUGCUUUUUGUUUUUUUUUUUAAAGGGGGGGUGCAGAUGUACAGCGAUAACAAUCUUUAAAGUUGUAGCACUUUGUUUCAGAUUUGGAAUAUGGGGAUGCAGCACUGAUGUUGUCCCAAAUAACAGAGGCCUUUUCUGUGUUGAUUUCAACCCUACCGUACAUGAGGAAACCUUUGCGUGGUGGUGGCGGCGUGGGGAGAGGCAUCCCCACCCACCAAAAAACCUCAGCACUGCCAGAGACCCAGGGGUUUUUGAGGGAGAUGGCCCAAGAGCGUUCUAAAACUGUGCAUUUCUGGCCGAUCUCCAUUUCUUGGAAUGUCGAUGUGCCCUGAGAUGCCCCCUUCGCUAUUUGCGGUAGAUUAGACUGCCUCCGAUGGGCUGGGGAUACUUUUGGGGGGUGGAUGGUGGUGGCCCGCAGGAACUCCAAACACAAGAAACCAGCGGUGUCCUUUCAGGCGUCUCCUGGCUUGACUGCUUCUCUCUAGCUUUUUAAUCACCCCCACCACAGAAAUCCUAAGUCACAUGUUGCUACAGGGGACAACCGAUCGUUUCUCAAGCAGACAAGUGUCCUGAUGGCAAAAUGAGGGAAGUUCGCAUUCUCUCUUGUCAUGCAUCCUGAUGCCCUGGUGCAGACAGGCAGGGGGAAAUCUCGUGAAUUUCAGUUCCCUUUUUACCAGAAAUCGGGAAGAGUUCCACCCGGAGGUACCCAGCGCUACUUCCCAGGUUUUUUUUGGUGUGUGUGUUUUUUGUUUGUUUGUUUGUUUGUUUUUCUGUCCCAUUAGGUUGGAAAGUACUAAACAUUGGACUGUUGAGAUUAGACAUUUGGAUUCUGUUGACCCGCACUUUAAAGCUUUUGUUUGCAUUUAAAUUAAAUGGCUUCUAAACAAGAAAUUGCAGCAUCUUCUUCAUUUUGGCCCAGAGGUGGGUUAAACUGCAAGGGACCGCUGAGAUUGAGUGUCAGUAUUGCUAAGCGUGGCAUUCACAAUACUGGCACUAUAAAGAACAAAAUAAAAUAAUAAUUUAUUGGACAGUUUUUCUACUGCCAUUCAAUUUGAUGUGAGUGCCUUGAAAACUGAUCUUCCUAUUUGAGUCUCUUGAGACAAAUGCAAAACCUUUUUUUUUUUUUUUUUGAAAUGAAAAGACUUUUUAAAAAAGUAAAACGAGAAAAGUACAUUUCUUUAGAAACAAACAAAGCCACAUUUCCUUUAAAUAAAUUUUUAAAAAUCCUGGUUGAAGACAUGACAAUGCCAUAAGACCCAAUCAAAUGAAGAAAUAAACCCAGCACAACCUUGGACAUCACUAGCUGAAUUAUCCUCAGCCCCUUUUGUCUGUGGGACAACGCUGCUUACAUGUGGAGUGGAGGUGAUUUACUGCUGAAUUAAAACUCAAGUGACACAAGUUACAAGUUGCUAUCGUUGAAUGAAAAAACAAAAACAAUUCAGGAACAACGGCUAAUUUUUUUCUAAAGUUAAAUUUAGUGCACUCUGUCUUAAAAAUACGUUUACAGUAUUGGAUACAUACAAGGGUAAAAAAAAAUUGUGUGUAUGUGUGUUGGAGCGAUCAUUUUUUUUUUCAAAGUUUGCUUAAUAGGUUACAAAAAAAAUGCCACAACGGCUGCGUGUAUAUUGUUUUCUUUUGGUGACGGGGUUUUAGUAUAUAUUAUAUAUAUUAAAAUUUCUUGAUUACUGUAAAAGUGGACCAGUAUUUGUAAUAAUCGAGAAUGCCUGGGCAUUUGACAAAACAAGAAAAAAAAAAAAAACCCUUUUCUUUUCCUUGAAAAUGUUGCAGUAAAAUUUAAAUGGUGGGUCUCUAAUAAUUUGUUCUUGUCACAGUAACUGUAAAGUCGGAGUUUUAGUAAAUUUUUUUCUGCCUUGGGUGUUGAAUUUUUAUUUCAAAAAAAAAAUGUAUAGAAACUUGUAUUGGGGGAUUAAAAGGGGAUUGCUACACCAUGUAGAAAAAGUAUGUAGAAAAAAAAGUGCUUAAUAUUGUUAUUGCUUUGCAGAGAAAAAAAAAAAUCCACAUUUCUGAUCUGUACUUAUUUUUCUCCUCCCACCUCCCUCUGGAAUGGAUAUAUUGGUUGGUUCAUAUAAUGUAGGCACUUGCUGUAUUUUUACUGGAGCUUGUAAUUUUUUAACUGUAAGCUUGUCCUUUUAAAGGGAUUUAAUGUACCUUUUUGUUAGUGAAUUUGGAAAUAAAAAGAAAAAAAAAACAAAAA
rnacentral:lncRNA from 1 species